rnacentral:piRNA from 1 species
UGGCGUCACCAACCCUGAAUGGCACAGC